rnacentral:rRNA from 1 species
UACGUAGGGGGCGAGCGUUGUCCGGAUUUAUUGGGCGUAAAGGGCCCGCAGGUGGUCCCGUGCGUCGCGCGUGAAAUACCCCGGCUCAACUGGGGGGUGUCGUGCGAUACGGCGGGACUGGAGGCCAGUAGGGGGAUGCGGAAUUCCGGGUGUAGUGGUGGAAUGCGUAGAGAUCCGGAGGAACACCAGCGGCGAAGGCGGCAUCCUGGACUGGUCCUGACACUCAGGGGCGAAAGCGUGGGGAGCGAUCCGGG